GCGCGCUGUGCGCUUUCCUUCAUUCGGAUUUGGUGCACCCGAAUCAAAACAAAAAUUUGAACACAUCAAAUUCUUAAUAUUUUUAUAUCGUCAUAUUUGAAAGAGCCGUCUAACUGCGUGGAUCCCGUUGUUGAUGUUCGAUACAGCAAAAAUAAACAUUGAAAAAAAAACAGCGCAAAUCACACAUUUAAGAUAAAUGGUGAAAGAUAAGCGCAGCUUCAUUUCAAUGUGCACAACACUUCAACACUUAGCGAAACUUCGAUCGCCCGGGACAUAGGCUAACACGCGCGCAGCCUUUCACGGCGAACGCUUGAGCUGAACUGACGAUUUCGUGUGGUGGCAAGAAGGGGAGCGCACAGAGGAACACUCGCUGCACUAGUGCGAGCGAGACACCGAUACCCGUAUGCCGCUGCGAGAAAACCAAACUGAGCGCGCAGGCUGAAAGUGAACGCACACAUUCACACAUGUGUAAUUGUGUGAGUGCAAAAACUGUGUAGAAACCAAAACACGCUCACGCCUCCGCGUAAUUCCGCGUAUUUCCAACCGUCUCCCCAUGCUUCUACAUGCCCCUCGCCUGAAAGUCGCACACUUUUUCAUUCUCAUUGCUAGUAGGGUAGUGUUUCUCGGCUGAAGCUUGCCGGUGAUGUGCGCGUUGAAGAGCUACGUAGUGUGCUGUUGAAUCUGAAAGUGGAUGGAAGAGAAAUUGUUGAGUGAUAACAAAUCUUAUAGUUAUUUUGUGGUUUUGAUCCAAGUGAUACUGUUCACCAACCUGCACCUUAACAACCUACUUUGUGGGGCUGAUUGAAACCCGACUUCAACAUUGCGUGCUUCACCAGCGUUCAAUAUAGCUUUUUAUAUUUUGAUGAUCCAGCUUUGUCUGCAUAGUGUUUUGUAAGGGGUUACCUGAAUCAUUGGAAGAUAUUAUGCCUUUUUCGAUUAUAACGACGCAUGGCCCAAAAGGCUUUUCUGAACUUACACUAGUGCAUGAUGGUUGGAUCCAGAGUACCAGUGCUGGGAAAAGUUAUGUGUAUUGGCCUAAAGGAGACAUAGCUAAGCUGAUCAAAGUUGAAACAAGUACUCCUUCAUCUGGAUGGACGAGACAAGCGUGUGUAGUUCAAAAAUCAAAUAUUUUAUCUUUACAACUAGGUAUAGCUAUACUUAGCGAUAUGUCAGGAGAAUCGAGUGAUGAUUCUUGUAUCAUAAAAUCUGUAAAAACUAUGUAUAGGCAGCGAUUUGGCCAGAGAGCAUUAGAAAAUGCUAACAAAGUUAACGCCUUGUCUGAAAGUUGUAUACAGUUAGAAACAGGCACUUUAGCUACAGGUUGCUCACAAUUCAAGACAGACACUUCAGCUAAAGGUGGUUCACAGUUAGAGAGAGUCAUUUUACCUUAUGGUUGUGCACAAUUAGAUACAAAUACUUCACCCAAAGGUUGUUCACAGUUAGAAACAGACACUACGAAUGAAUUCAUGGAAUCAGCACAGCCGAGUGGUGCACCAGAAACCACUAGAAAGGAUUUUCCUUCAGUUCCUUCUCAAUUAGAGCAGAAUAAUAGCUUUUCUCCUACAAAUCAGAUGGAAAAUGCAAUCACAAGUUUGAUCGCUGUUGUAGGUGGUUUAAUUCAACAAAUCAGCGACAUAAAUUCAAACAAACUGAUAGGAUUAGAUAAAAUUGAUAAUUUAACAAAAGUACUAGAGCAGCAGGUCGUACCAACGUUAGGUGGUCUUGUAGAGGAAUUUAAAGAGUUAAAAAAAAAGUUUAUUUAAAUACGGUACAAAUGGAUCUGUUCAUUAACAGUUUGGAGCAAGAAAACAGAAAAAGAAAAAAACCAUCAUUUUCAAUGGAUCCGAUCGAUAACCAUAAAGAUUUAAAGGAUUUUGACAAAAGUCUUGAGGAAGACGAUUUUAAAACAUCUGUUAUUGAUUGGCUUACCCAUAACAUAUGUGAAACAAACAGUAAUAAUAGAAUGUUGGAUGCUUUGGAUAUGUUACUGAAUCGUUCAUUUUGUACGCAAAUUAGUUGCCUUGUCCUGGGCAAAGAAAACUCGAAAAUACCGAUAAAAAUGUUUCCUAAUUUCUUAGAAGUUUUUAGAAAGAUAGGUACAACCCAUUUGACUUUGGUAACAGAUCAAUGCUUGAAAGAUUUUUUUCAUAAAAAAAUUAAAGCAUAGCCAGGAAAGAUGCAUGAUUCAAGGGUUACGAAAACUUACUUCUCACAACAAAAGAUGUUGAUGUUAAGAAGUUUUUGAAUAUAUUUAUUAAUUAAUAAUAAAAAGAUUAAAAACUA